UACGGGGGGAGCAAGCGUUGUUCGGAUUUACUGGGCGUAAAGGGCGCGUAGGCGGCGCGACAAGUCACUUGUGAAAUCUCCGGGCUUAACUCGGAGCGGCCAAGUGAUACUGUCGGGCUAGAGUGCGGAAGGGGCAACUGGAAUUCUCGGUGUAGCGGUGAAAUGCGUAGAUAUCGAGAGGAACACCUGCGGCGAAGGCGGGUUGCUGGGCCGACACUGACGCUGAAGCGCGAAAGCCAGGGGAGCGAACGGG
rnacentral:rRNA from 1 species